rnacentral:rRNA from 1 species
CCUACGGGAGGCAGCAGUAGGGAAUCUUCCACAAUGGGCGAAAGCCUGAUGGAGCAACGCCGCGUGGGUGAAGAAGGUCUUCGGAUCGUAAAACCCUGUUGUUAGAGAAGAAAGUGCGUGAGAGUAACUGUUCACGUUUCGACGGUAUCUACCCAGAAAGCCACGGCUAACUACGUGCCAGCAGCCGCGGUAAUACGUAGGUGGCAAGCGUUAUCCGGAUUUAUUGGGCGUAAAGGGAACGCAGGCGGUCUUUUAAGUCUGAUGUGAAAACCUUCGGCUUAACCGGGGUAGUGCAUUUGAUACUGGGAGACUAGAGUGCAGAAGAGGAGGGUGGAACUCCAUGUGUAGCGGUGAAAUGCGUAGAUAUAUGGAGGAACACCAGUGGCGAAAGCGGCUCUCUGGUCUAAGACUGACGCUGAGGUGCGAAAGCGUGGGUAGCAAACAGGAUUAGAUACCCGUGUAGUC